rnacentral:rRNA from 1 species
CAGUAGCCGCGGGAAAACGAAGGGGGCUAGCGUUGUUCGGAAUUACUGGGCGUAAAGCGCACGUAGGCGGAUAUUUAAGUCAGGGGUGAAAUCCCAGAGCUCAACUCUGGAACUGCCUUUGAUACUGGGUAUCUUGAGUAUGGAAGAGGUGAGUGGAAUUCCGAGUGUAGAGGUGAAAUUCGUAGAUAUUCGGAGGAACACCAGUGGCGAAGGCGGCUCACUGGUCCAUUACUGACGCUGAGGUGCGAAAGCGUGGGGAGCAAACAGGAUUAGAUACCCGAGUAGUCCCUGUCUCUUAUAC